rnacentral:rRNA from 1 species
UGGGGAAUAUUGGACAAUGGGCGCAAGCCUGAUCCAGCCAUGCCGCGUGAGUGACGAAGGCCUUAGGGUUGUAAAGCUCUUUUGGCGGGGAAGAUAAUGACGGUACCCGCAGAAUAAGCUCCGGCUAACUUCGUGCCAGCAGCCGCGGUAAUACGAAGGGAGCUAGCGUUGUUCGGAAUCACUGGGCGUAAAGCGCACGUAGGCGGAUGUGUCAGUCAGGGGUGAAAUCCCGGAGCUCAACUUCGGAACUGCCUUUGAUACAGCACGUCUUGAGUCCGAUAGAGGUGGGUGGAAUUCCUAGUGUAGAGGUGAAAUUCGUAGAUAUUAGGAAGAACACCGGUGGCGAAGGCGGCCCACUGGAUCGGUACUGACGCUGAGGUGCGAAAGCGUGGGGAGCAAACAGGAUUAGAUACCCCCGUAGUCC